rnacentral:lncRNA from 1 species
UAUAUAGCAAGGUGGAAUUAGGCUUAGAACCUCCAGUUAGAUAUGUUGGUUAAGAAUAAUAGGUUAGAAGGUUCAUUUGAUAAACCGAGGAUGGUUUGGGGUAUAACGGGGUUGAUCUUGACUCAACGGUCACGACCAUAUGUUCCUGGUUCAGGUAGCUAUAGGACGCACGCGAAGGGUUUGUCUACUGUGUAGAAGGGAUAGACAUGAGAAGAGAGGGAGAACGGGGAGCCCAACGACAGAGUUUAAAAUACCAAAACAUCUCUGAUUUAGACCGGCUUUAGUGCCACUAUAGGUUUAAUGGUUGGGGGUAUCAAACGACCUCUGAUUGCGACAAAAUUUGGCAGGCGGUCUACCUACACGAUAAUAAGGCCGCACACCAACUCUUAACCCACUCCAAGAAAGUUUUAGACACACUUUAAAAAAAAUAA